CACCGGCGUCACAAGUGGGAAUCGUGUUUAUUGGGCCUAAAGCGUUCGUAGCCUGUUUGGUAAAUCUUUUGUGAAAUCGUUGUGCUCAACAUAACGGCGUGCAGAAGACACUGCCAGACUAGGGACCAGGAGGAGUCAGAGGUAUUGUCGGGGGAGCGGUAAAAUGCUAUAAUCCCGAUAAGACCACCUGUGGCGAAGGCGUCUGACUAGAAUGGAUCCGACGGUGAGGGACGAAGGCCAGGGGAGCGAACCGG
rnacentral:rRNA from 1 species